GUGGGGAAUUUUGGACAAUGGGCGCAAGCCUGAUCCAGCAAUGCCGCGUGCAGGAAGAAGGCCUUCGGGUUGUAAACUGCUUUUGUACGGAACGAAAAGGCUCUGGUUAAUACCUGGGGCUCAUGACGGUACCGUAAGAAUAAGCACCGGCUAACUACGUGCCAGCAGCCGCGGUAAUACGUAGGGUGCAAGCGUUAAUCGGAAUUACUGGGCGUAAAGCGUGCGCAGGCGGUUUUGUAAGACAGACGUGAAAUCCCCGGGCUCAACCUGGGAAGGGCGUUUGUGACUGCAAAGCUGGAGUGCGGCAGAGGGGGAUGGAAUUCCGAGUGUAGCAGUGAAAUGCGUAGAUAUGCGGAGGAACACCGAUGGCGAAGGCAAUCCCCUGGGCCUGCACUGACGCUCAUGCACGAAAGCGUGGGGAGCAAACAGGAUUAGAAACCCUGGUAGUCC
rnacentral:rRNA from 1 species